UACGUAGGGGGCGAGCGUUACCCGGAAUCACUGGGCGUAAAGGGAGCGUAGGUGGCCUGACAUGUCGACUGUGAAAACCCGGAGCUCAACUCCUGACUUGCAGUUGAGACUGCCAGGCUUGAGGACGGUAGAGGAAGACGGAACUGCCAGUGUAGGGGUAAAAUGCGUAGAUAUUAGGAGGAACACCGGUGGCGAAGGCGGCUUACUGGACGAUUACUGACGUUGAGGCUCGAAAGCGUGGGGAUCAAACAGGAUUAGAUACCCCUGUAGUCCCUGAG
rnacentral:rRNA from 1 species